rnacentral:rRNA from 1 species
UACGUAGGGUGCAAGCGUUAAUCGGAAUUACUGGGCGUAAAGAGUGUGUAGGCGGUGCUCUAAGUUCGGUGUGAAAUCUCCCGGCUUAACUGGGAGGGUGCGCCGGAAACUGGAGUGCUCGAGCGUGGGAGAGGAAAGCGGAAUUCCUGGUGUAGCGGUGAAAUGCGUAGAUAUCAGGAGGAACACCUGCGGUGUAGACGGCUUUCUGGACCAU